UAAGCGAACAAGGUUUCCGUAGGUGAACCUGCGGAAGGAUCAUUACCGAGUGUAGGGUUCCUAGCGAGCCCAACCUCCCACCCGUGUUUACUGUACCUUAGUUGCUUCGGCGGGCCCGCCAUUCAUGGCCGCCGGGGGCUCUCAGCCCCGGGCCCGCGCCCGCCGGAGACACCACGAACUCUGUCUGAUCUAGUGAAGUCUGAGUUGAUUGUAUCGCAAUCAGUUAAAACUUUCAACAAUGGAUCUCUUGGUUCCGGCAUCGAUGAAGAACGCAGCGAAAUGCGAUAACUAGUGUGAAUUGCAGAAUUCCGUGAAUCAUCGAGUCUUUGAACGCACAUUGCGCCCCCUGGUAUUCCGGGGGGCAUGCCUGUCCGAGCGUCAUUGCUGCCCAUCAAGCACGGCUUGUGUGUUGGGUCGUCGUCCCCUCUCCGGGGGGGACGGGCCCCAAAGGCAGCGGCGGCACCGCGUCCGAUCCUCGAGCGUAUGGGGCUUUGUCACCCGCUCUGUAGGCCCGGCCGGCGCUUGCCGAACGCAAAUCAAUCUUUCCAGGUGACCUCGGAUCAAGACGUACCUCGCCCA
rnacentral:rRNA from 1 species